rnacentral:misc_RNA from 1 species
CGCCGAAGGUGGGGCUGAUGACUGGGGUGAAGUCGUAACAAGGUAGCCGUACCGGAAGGUGCGGCUGGAUCACCUCCUAACAGGGAGACAACAAAUUGAUUGUGAUGUCUAAGUUUUUUAUUCUUAGGCCGCAAUCCUGUCACCUUAAGGUCGAUCGGUACCUCAGAUUUUUGAAUUAGUUUUAUAAUUGAUUCUCUGAUUUCAGUUCCUAAACUUGUCUAGGUCACACCCAACAAAGGUUUCUCCUGGGCCAUUAGCUCAGGUGGUUAGAGCGCACCCCUGAUAAGGGUGAGGUCCCUGGUUCAAGUCCAGGAUGGCCCAUUCGUUGUUGGGGGUAUAGCUCAGUUGGUAGAGCGCCUGCUUUGCAAGCAGGAUGUCAGCGGUUCGAGUCCGCUUACCUCCACUGAAAACUAUCCUGAUAACUAAAUUCUGGAGAAAAAUUUGAAGAUGUGGCUUAGAAUUGUCUAUUCGAAUAGAACCUAGCUUCUUGUCAUCUUUUUAUAGUUGAUAAAAUGCUGGGCUCACAUGGAUUUAUUUCAUGUGUAUUCAGUAGAACCUUGAAAACUGCAUAGAUUAGAAAGAAUAAAGCAUCUCAUGGAUGCAUAAUUCUGCUUUUUAUAAUUUAGCGUUAAAUCUAAAUUAUCAAGCAUAAUUAUUGUUUAAUUCUUGAGUAAAAGCCGAGCACAAUUGAUUUUGUGAUUGUAUUUAAGGUCAAGCUACAAAGGGCUC